ensembl:lncRNA
CACCAACGGUAGCCUGGAGCAUUCUGCAGGCUGAAAUGCCUUGUUAAUUCACACUUGCUCUGUGAAUGCCUAUGGACAUUGAUAUAUACUAGUUGUAUCAGGCUGUAAGGUUUGUAGAUGAGAUGUUAAGAAGAUGGGAAGAGGAUGAGAAGAACGAGAUAUAGGUAUCUAAUCCUACUUCUUUUGUUGAUCCCAGUCCUAGCAGAAGGUGCUGGGGAGUUCAAAGCUGGUUUUACCCUCAAGGCACAGAGCAUUAGGGAUGGUGAUCUGGGUCUGCAACGUCAACGAGAAACAACAUGGAAAACCUGCCCAUUUUUUAUCUACAACCUGUAGGAGGUGGUUCUCACGCAUAGGAGACAAUACAAGGAUGAUCUGAAAGUCAUGAUGGCAGAUGUACAACAACAGAAGCUUUCUUGGCUUCCUGUUCAGGAAACAAGGAGAAGAAAGUGUCGAGUCGGUUACUCUCACUGUGACCUCCCUCAGUCUUCUCAGAAAGAGGUUCUUCACCGCUCCUCAGGGGGUGAGGCUUUGGACCAGGCUGCCCAGGGAGGUGGUGCAGCCAUCAUCCCUGGGUGUGCUCAAGGAUAGAUGUGGCACUGAGGGACAUGGUCAGCGGGCACGGUGGGUAUGGGUUGAUGUUUGGACUGGAUGAUUUUAGUGGUCUUUUCCAACUGUAACAAUUCUAUAGUUUUACGGAGACAUAAGACUGUGAGCUGCAGGCUCUGUUCCCAUCGUGAGCUAAUGGCAGACAGUCACGGUGAACCAAAGAGAGAUUAAAUGCUUCAGACAGCAUGGGUGGAGGCGGGCCCUCCACGUGGUCCAAAGGUCAUGCAGAGCUGGAUGCAGGCUGUUUUGUACCAUAUCAAAUCCCAGAAGACCUGCUGAGAUAUCGCAUCACUGCAGCCCUUCUCUGGGGCAGCAGAAAAGUCUGGGGUACCUGCCUACCUCCUUGUUAGCUACUACUAGGAUUUAUACUGUCAUAUGGGGAAUGAGCUCAGAUGGCUCUGGGGACUGCAUAUGGGAUGUUAACUUUUCAUCUUCAAGUCACCUCACAGCUGCUGGAUGGGACUACAGCAUGUGUAAGAUGGUCGAAGGAGGAGGCACAGUCCCAUACUACAUGCCCAUGUACAUACCCAUGAACCUCUGUGCAAUUAGUACUAAUUGACCCUCCCCUUGGAAACCACUGCUGAGCAGCCUAAGUGGCCACAUACACAGACCUGAACUGCUGUACAUCUCUCUUAAUAAAACUCAGGUAUUUGGCUUGAAAAAUCCAUUUUGGAGCUCUUGGUUUGAAAAGGUUAAGCACGCCCUGCAGCCAAUUUCAUGCCUUCCUUAAGUGUCAACAUUUGGCUGGUCAAAUAAUUGGGCAAAAAAAAGACUGGAUAAUUUCCAGUGAGUUUAUAGGACAGAUGCUCUGAAAGCCUUCUACCUCCCCCAUCAGGCUGCCCUGCCAUCUAUAUAAAAAUGAGCAGAUAUAAGUGCCAAUUAAAAAAAUAACACCAAAGAAGCAACAAGAUAAAACAAGCUCCAUCCUCUUACGGUAGAUAUCUGGACUGCAAUAUAGAACCUUAAAAAUAUCAUUCCUUGAAGUGUCAUCUCUGUACCUUUAGAGUACAUUUUGCCCAGCUCGGGUUCCCAAGGCUUCCUCAACCCCUCCAUCCCAUAAAAACACAUUUUGUUUCAUUUUGCAUCUGAAUAAGGUGGUUCAGCAUUCUGAGAAAAAUGGUAUUUGGGCAGCAGGUUCUCUUUCAUAGUGAAUUUUGUGAAUAUUUUGUGGUUGCUGAAGGCAAGGAAAAAACAGACCUUGAAAUCCACUACUGAAGCACAACAGGCACCCCACUCUGCUCUCUCACUCCAGUACAUUGCAUAGGUAAAUUAUUUUGGGCGUCAUUUUGUUGAUCAGCCUUACCUGGCAUUCGCCUGCAGCCUGAGCAAAUGCCCACCGCUGUCCAUGAGAUUCAGAAAACUCUUCCAUGAAGGCUAUGUUGAGACCUGGCCCCGACUCCCCUUUGAGAGAGGCUAAAUGGACCUCACUCCUUGAGGUGAACCAGGCUCAGUUUGAUAGUGCCUGGGCUCAAACUGCUGCAUCUUUCAUAGGGUUUAUUGUGUUACCAGUCAGGAACUCCAGAGUCCUGUGGUUUAUCUGCAACUCCUUCAGCUCCUGACAGCAUGCCUCGGGCAGAUCACUUCAGUUCACAGCACCUUUAAUCCCUCUCCUUUUUCACACCAGUGUCAGGCAUAGCAGCUGAUGGCCUUUUGCUCUGAGGGCUUGUUCCCAUACAGCGUACUCCUGAAGUGCCUGACAGAUCUAUAUGCCGCUAUCACAGAGUUCAGGCUACUGUUUUAUGUACACUUAUUUAUAUAUAUUUAUUACUAUUUCAUUUAAUGUUUGUUCAGCUUCUGUUAUAGUUCUUUUCGAAGCAAAUUGAAAUAUAUUUGAAAUUAUUACCAUUAGUACCCG